AGCCCGCUGUUAUCGAAGCCCUUUCUGGGUUUUUGGGUUGGAGUGGGAUUGUGGUUGGUGGUGAGGGUAUGUCCGGAGAAACGGUCUUGGUUUUCUUUUUCUGUAAUAGGAAUUUAGACUUAUUUGGAAUCUAUUCCGUAGGGGAAAAUCUAAUCUAAGU
rnacentral:rRNA from 1 species